rnacentral:rRNA from 1 species
AUGCCAGAAAUAAGGGAGGCUUUACUACAAGUGGUUGAAACUGAUAAGGAUCCAUUGACAAGUAGUGAAGCACAAUCAUUGGCAGAAAAUGAACUUGGUGGUUUUGAAUUUGUAGUGUCAAUAAUUAUCAGGUAUGAUAUAUUAUCCGCAGUUAAUUUGGUCAGCAAGCAGCUACAAUCGAAGGACAUGCUUAUUGAUAUUGCAAUUGAGUCUAUACAGGGUCUGCUUUCAUUUUUCAAGAAGUAUAGAGAAAUUGGCUUUUCAAAAGCAUUGGAAGCUGCAAAAGAAAUUGCACAUGAGAUGGAUAUUCAUCUAGAGUUCCGCACCAAGCAGAAAAUCAAAAGAAGAAGACAAUUCGAUGAGGGCGCAGAUGAUGCAUCUAUUGUUUCACAAUCUACAGAGGAGUCAUUUAGGGUCAAUUAUUUUCUGGAAGUGGUCGAUCAAGCUAUAGUUUCACUUACCAGGAGGUUUGAGCAAUAUCAGGAGUAUGAAAAAACUUUUGGUUUCUUAUUUACUUCAGAUAGGCUGCGAUCUUUGGAUCAUAAGAGUUUGUUGGCUGCUUGUGUUAAUCUUGAGGAUGCCCUUAAGAGUGGAGAACACAAAGACAUUGAUGGAGUUGAAUUGUUUUACGAGUUAAUUUUCAUCCAGGAUUUAGUUAAGAAAUCUAUGGGCCAUGUUGAUAUUCUUGAGAUUCUGAUGAAGCGCCCCUUCUAUCCUAAUGCUAUUAUUGCGUACAGGAUUUUGUUAACCAUUCCUGUAACUAUUGCAACUGCAGAAAGGAGCUUCUCUAAACUCAAGUUGUUGAAAUCCUAUUUGCGUUCAACUAUGACACAAGAAAGACUCAAUGGUUUGGCAACAAUAGCACUUGAAAAUGAUGUCUUGGAGAAGAUUAAAUAUGAAGAUGUAAUUGAAGAUUUCAUUUCAAGGAACACAAGACGGAUGACACUUUUCAAUAGAGCAUGA